rnacentral:rRNA from 1 species
UAGGGAAUUUUCGUCAAUGGGCGCAAGCCUGAACGAGCAAUGCCGCGUGAACGAGGAAGGUCUUCGGAUCGUAAAGUUCUGUUGAAGGGGAAAAAGAGCGGAGAGAGGAAAUGCUUUCUGAUUGAUAUUACCCUUCGAGGAAGUCACGGCUAACUACCGUGCC